AGUUACUGCCACCCUCUCCCAGGUCUAGAGAGGGGUACCCACGGUGGAGGGAGGUGGGAGGCCGAGACGGCCCCGGGGGUCGGCGGAGACCCAGCGGGAGCAGGGGGAAAUCGGAAGAGCUGGGGGCAUGGAGCGGGCGAGUUUGGAGCGGAAUGAGCCGGGAGCCCUACGUUGUGGAAGGAAGACAACAGUAUAGGACCAUCAGCAGGACCGGACAGAGAGGGGCACGCUGGCCUUGAACUCAGAAAUCCGCCUGCCUCUGACUCCCGAGUGCUGAGAUUAAAGGUGUGCACCACCACACCCGACAAGGAAGCCUGUUUUAAGAAGUGAUUCCAUGGAGGAGUUCUGCGGCGGCUCAGGGCUUGACUAAACAGUGGACCUCAGGGUCCCAUUUCUCUCAGUAGACAAGAGAGGCUAAACCAGGCUGCAGGUGACAGGAAGAAUUGAAUAAACUGAAAGCAAAGGGCAGCCUUCUAAUUACGCUUCGUGGCUAUGUGGACAACCUGGAGAAGUCUGGAAACAAGCCAGAAGCCCGAAGCCAGCAGUAGAGCUCUGACUGGCUUGUAUGCCUAGAAAGGAAGGGCUCUUCUUUCGCCUCACGGGCACAAAUGGGACCCACGAGCGCCGAUUUCAGACUAUUCUGAUCCCUUCAAAAAGAAAGUUAGGAGUCCAGGCUACUUCACUUUGGUGAUAGUAAUCAAACCCUAAUCACGGUGCAGCCACAAGUCACAGAGACCGAAAUAGCAGACUUAUGACAGACAAGGAUGGAGACAGCUAAGGAACUGGCUAUUAAUCACCAGUCCCUCUGCUCACAGCCCAUUGGACCCGAGGGUGAAGGAUGAGGAGGAUGGAAGAAAAUGGGAGUGGCGCUUGCUGCAAAGGGUCUCGAAGGGUCUCAGCACCUGCGAACUGGCUCCAAUCCAAACUCCACUAUUCAUGGUCAAGUUCACAUAGGGCUUGGGGUUCUAACAAGAUGUGACUAAACUUACGUUUUCUAUCUUAUUGAUUGUUGUUGAUGCACGUCUGGUGGUACAUGCUUGAAGAACACAGACACCCUGAGAAGAAAGACAUAGCUCCCCAGAUUCCAGCACGCACUUCUCUGUGAGCUACCACUGUAGCUGAAGAUACAGGGCUCAGGAGGAACACUUGGCCUUCGCUCUGAACUUCAGGCCCACGUAACCAUCAGCCGACAUGACACUGCAAAGGCACCUUAGCUCUGCUGUCCCAGAUGGCCAAGCCAACCUUAUUCCAGAAGCUACUUCUCCUGAUGUAAGAACCAGACACAAAGGACAACCUCUGCCUCACCCUCCUUCACACAACACUGAGUCUGUCAUCUUUGAAGCAUUUCUCAAGCCAUGUUUAUUCCCCUGGCCUACGUGGAACACAGCCAGGGUACGGAACACAACCUCAGCACCGGUCUGCUUUCCUCUCCCCAUUUCUGGUCUUUCUCAGAUGCCCAGAGCUCCUCUGUCCCAAUGACUGCUUAUCAAAGAUCUCACUGUGUCCCCACCCAAGGGGUCUUUGGCCACCCUGUGAAGUCCUAGUGGCCUGGAGUUUGCCCCCUUUCCCAGACACCUUAGGGUUCCUGCUGCAGCUCCAGAACUGGGGGAGCAGGGUUGGGGGUGAGUGUGUGUGUGUGUGUGUGUGUGUGUGUGUGUGUGUGUGUUGACUCACCCUGCAGUAUUCUCUCCAUCUGCACAGGUCCCCAGUCUCUGAGACUGAAUCACCCCUCUUUCACUAUGCCUCUGCACAGCUGCCCUUGUGCUCCCUCUCCUUGCCCCGCCUCUUUUUAAGACAGUAUUAUGCAGCCCUGGCUGUCCUGGAACUUAUGUAAACCAGCCUGGCCUUGAACUUGCAGAGAUCCACCUGCCUUUGCCUCUGCCCCUGCCCCUGCCCCUGCCCCUGCCCCUGCCCCUGCCCCUGCCUUUCUGCCUCUGCCUCUGCCUCUCUGCCUUUCUGCCUCUGCCUCUCUGCCUCUGCCUCUCUGCCUCUGCCUCUCAAGUGUCAGGGAUUAAUGCCUGCCACCUCCCCAGUCCCACCCCUCUCCAUCUACCAUGUGGGUUCCACGGGGCAAACCCAAGUCAUCAGGCUUGUUGGCCAGUGCCUUUAUCCACUGAGCCAAGCCGCUUGGUGUGUCUUUGAUGGUGAUUAUUUACAGGAGCUAUUCAGCAAGGUUAAAUGCUGGCAACCCAAUGAGGGGGUCUCUUGAUCCAAAACUGAGAAGUUGAGGCACUAUUUCAGAAUGACCAAAGACAGUAGAAGAAUCUAGAUAUGUCGAUGAUGAGAACAAUGAUAACUCCAAAAGCUGAGGGAAAUUAACUCAAAAUCUUCCAGCUUCCUUUUCCUUACCUAGUUUGGCGGACUCCAACUCUUGGGAUAGCUUUUUUUCUGGCCCCAAACUCACCUGAUUCGUCUGUCCACUGCCACACUGAAGAAUGAACAGCUGUCUCAGAGAGCUUGGCUCCAGAGCUCUGCAAAAAGAGGACACCUUGCCUUGAGCUGUGUUUCCAGAAUGUAUUGCAGCCCCCAGAGUCAUGUACUGUGACCAGGUGAGGACAUGCAUCUUCUGUUCUCCUGCACCCAGGGCCCCAGCAACCAAGGAUCUGGGGACAUGGCGGGUGUUUGGCAGGUUCGCACUCUGAAAAUAUUUGAUGAGACUCAGUAUAUGCUAAAUAAACACUGGAUCAA
rnacentral:lncRNA from 1 species